rnacentral:rRNA from 1 species
UACAGAGGUGGCAAGCGUUGUUCGGAAUUACUGGGCGUAAAGGGCGCGUAGGCGGCCAUCUAAGUCAGACGUGAAAUCCCCCGGCUUAACCUGGGAACUGCGUCUGAUACUGGAGGGCUUGAGUGUGGGAGAGGGAUGCGGAAUUCCAGGUGUAGCGGUGAAAUGCGUAGAUAUCUGGAGGAACACCGGUGGCGAAGGCGGCAUCCUGGACCAUGACUGACGCUGAGGAGCGAAAGCCAGGGGAGCAAACGGG